CUUUCAUAACCCCCACAUCCACGUGUCUAGCGCCCACUCCCCAAUCCAAAUGGACCCGGGCAACAGGUAAGCUGAACACGGCGCCUCCUGCUACCCUCACUGCCACAGUGUCUCCAGUGUGCUGGUGUUCUGAGACUAGGUUCUUUGGGGGCAGUGUCAUAGUGGCUCCUGUGUCUCUCAGUCCGUUCACCACUCUGCCAUUCAGCUUCACAGUCUCCCGGUGUUGCUGACGAUUGUCCUGAUGAGCUGCUUGCACUGAGUCGGCCUCGUGUAGGAUGCC